GGCACACUAAUAGAAUAAUGUAAUGGCGAGAAUUAGUAUCGUCAUUCGUGGUAACAAAAUUUGCAUCGGGUAAUGAAACAAUAUACAUGUAUGAUGUAGUCUCACAGAAGGUACUAACAGUUGGUCAUGACCUAGGCUAGAGGUCAAGUUUGGUAUGCAUAUUGCCAAGUCAGCAAGAGUACUCAGAUGCAACGUAUUCUGUGCAUGCAGUACGACGGUUGUAGUUUGAACCAGUUCUGGAAGCUCCCACACAGGUGGGUGUGUCUAAUCCCUUGCAGAUGAAGGAAGCUAUUGACUUUUAAAAUAAGGGUCCUCUGUAGACGCUCGAUGUAAUUGCAUACAUGUACGUUCAGCAGAACACCAAGUUUGAACGUGGCGAGGGUACGAAGACGAGGAGAGUGCUAACUAUUCAUGAGAAUGCUGCUGAACCAGACAGAGUAUCUGCAUCAAAACUACAGUUUACAUUACACGUGGAGACACCAUCAAGAAAGUCUCGAACUACAACACGUACAAUGAUGCGCUUCUUCUCCAGCUUGGGGAACUAUGCCUUUGAUUUGGAUUAUCCAAAGUAUUUUCACGUGCUUUGAGUUCUUUUCAAAAAAUCAUAAUCAGAGAAAAGUUUUCCUGGCAGAUUCCAGCAAAUUCAUGCAGUUCACUACAAGGUAUUUGUGUAUAAAUUAAUUGGAUAUAUUGUUGAAAUCUCAGCUAAAGAUCAAUACUUAUUUUACCACUUCAAACUAUAACGCAAACCUUCAUAGGUUUUAAAAAACAAGUAUAAUUCAUUUGCAGUUUUACUUCUAACUCUCAUUGAAUUGGAAAAUAAUUGGUUUUAGCCCUAUUUACAGAUAUAUUCAUUUACUUCAAAUUCACCCUUUUGUGUUUGUUUAUGUUUUUGUUUCUUUGUUUUGAUACUUGUGAAAAAUGUAAUUGGCCUUAAUGUUGGGGUCUUAAAAAAAGGAUUGUUGGAAACAUACUCAUAGGCAUGUGGCAUAUUCACAUAAAUGUCACAUUAUUUUUGCUGUCGUGAUGUAGCCCUACAAUAUUCUCUAGGGGUGACCAUGAAAAUACAUUUGUAUUUUAUUGUGUCCAUUUUCAUGAUUCGAUAGAACUCAAUAGGCCCUUCACCACAAUCCUAUAGGUGAAAAUGAAGACAGCUUUGUGAAGUGCCCUAAAUGCGUUUAUUUCAAUGUUGUUAAUAUUGUGACUGAAGUUUUACUUGCAAUUUGGAAUACUGUUCGAAAACUAAACACACACUGUGAAUAUAAAUACUUGAAAAUAAUAAUAAAUAGCGUCACAUGUUUAAAAUCUGUCACAGGCAAUAAACGUGUCACAUGU